UACAGAGGGUGCGAGCGUUGUCCGGAAUCACUGGGCGUAAAGCGCACGUAGGCGGAUCGCUAAGUCAGGGGUGAAAUCCUGGAGCUCAACUCCAGAACUGCCUUUGAUACUGGCAAUCUCGAGUCCGGGAGAGGUGAGUGGAACUGCGAGUGUAGAGGUGAAAUUCGUAGAUAUUCGCAAGAACACCAGUGGCGAAGGCGGCUCACUGGCCCGGUACUGACGCUGAGGUGCGAAAGCGUGGGGAGCAAACAGG
rnacentral:rRNA from 1 species